rnacentral:rRNA from 1 species
CCCUUAGAUGUCCUGGGCCGCACGCGCGCUACACUGACGGAGCCAGCGAGCGUGUCCUUCGCCGAAAGGUGCGGGUAAUCUUGGCAGCCUCCGUCGUGCUGGGGAUAGAUGGUUGCAAUUAUUGAUCUUGAACGAGGAAUUCCUAGUAAGCGCGAGUCACCAGCUCGCGUCGAUUACGUCCCUGCCCUUUGUACACACCGCCCGUCGCUACUACCGAUUGGAUGGCUUAAUGAGAGCUCUGGAUCUCUGCCGGCGCGGUCCUCACGGGUCGCGUUGGAUGGGGAGAAGUUGCUCAAAUUGAGUCUUCUAGAGGAAGUAAAAGUCGUAACA